AAGUCGUAACAAGGUUUCCGUAGGUGAACCUGCGGAAGGAUCAUUACAAAUCUUUGCGGGUGCUGCGUGCAUGUUUAUUGUGCGUAGCAUUUUGCACAUUAGCACAAGGUCGCAAGAUCUUGAUGUUUACGCUUGUUUGUUUGACAGAGUUAGUUGAGAAAAAAUAAAGACAACUUUUAACAAUGGAUCUCUUGGCUCUU
rnacentral:misc_RNA from 1 species